UACGGGGGGGGCAAGCGUUGUUCGGAAUUACUGGGCGUAAAGGGCCAGUAGGCGGCCAACUAAGUCCGACGUGAAAUCCCCAGGCUUAACCUGGGAACUGCGUCGGAUACUGGAUGGCUUGAAUUCGGGAGAGGGAUGCAGAAUUCCAGGUGUAGCGGUGAAAUGCGUAGAUAUCUGGAGGAACACCGGUGGCGAAGGCGGCAUCCUGGACCGGCAUUGACGCUGAGGAGCGAAAGCCAGGGGAGCAAACGGG
rnacentral:rRNA from 1 species